rnacentral:misc_RNA from 1 species
GAUGAAGAACGCAGCAAAAUGCGAUAAGUAAUGUGAAUUGCAGAAUUCAGUGAAUCAUCGAAUCUUUGAACGCACAUUGCGCCCGCUGGUAUUCCGGCGGGCAUGCCUGUUCGAGCGUCAUUUCAACCCUCAAGCCCCCGGGUUUGGUGUUGGGGAUCGGCUCUCCCCUUCUGGGCGGUGCCGCCCCCGAAAUACAUUGGCGGUCUCGCUGCAGCCUCCAUUGCGUAGUAGCUAACACCUCGCAACUGGAACGCGGCGCGGCCAUGCCGUAAAACCCCAACUUCUGAAUGUUGACCUCGGAUCAGGUAGGAAUACCCGCUGAACUUAAGCAUAUCAUAAGCGGAGGA